UGCACUUACCGACGGCAGCGUACGGCAAAGGACUUGAGGGUUUUUUUGAGGAUGUAGCGUCGGUUUGAAUGAUAGGCUUUCUAGAAGAUUACAGGCUUGGAUUGUCGCUAAGAGUGAACCGCUUCUUUCUUUGACAGAAAUGGUCUGCGGAGAGGAAAGGAGAGGUGAAAACCCAAAGCGACACGGAAUGUGAAAAAGAGGGAAGGAGAGCUUGUAAUUCCCGUCGGGUUUCAAUGCGGUCCAAAAAAACGGAGACAAAGGUGGUCUGUGGAAGACUGAGCGGUGACCCCGGCAGCGAAGAUCAUUUACAUAAUGGUGAAGACGUUUUGGAAGAAAGCUCUCAGCGCAGAAAAGAUGAUCACGGUUUGAUCUUAAGAUGUCUUGAUUGAUAUCAGCAGCCUGUGAGAGAGCAGUACUCCUGCCCACGACCGGACAGCAUGCGGGGCAUCGCUGCCAAAACACGGUGGUCUGCUCUAGUCUGAUCGGGGGAACGGGACGCUUGCAUGCAAAUCAGCUUGGCAGAGGCCUGCGUCUGACCACAAGACCAUAAGGAAACCGCCACUCACCGAUGCAAGCACAAAGGCAGGGGUCGUGACUGGUCACCCGUCCAGACGGACCUGACGUCCAGCCCGUACGCUCACACAUCCCUGCACAGCUGGGCCCAUUUCCCUGGAAGCUUGACCUUUGACCCCUGACCUUGAACUUGAGCCUGGCCUCAUUUUCCGAGCGCGGUCUGACCGCCGCGUGACACCGCAGAUGACCCUCUCCGGGUUUUCGGAAAGGGUGCAGUGGUAAUGGCAUUGAUUAGCAGGGUCUGGUGCCAAUAUAUUUCUCUCUGAAGCCGUUUUGAUAGAUGAGGCCUCGUCUAAAUAGAUGAGCGUCUGGCUGAAGAGGCAGGUGCGACGUGAAGUUAAUGUUUCUAAAGUGAUGCGGACAUGGUGGAAGGAUGCUACCGUUUGACCUCGGGGUCUCAGACGUCGCCCAAACCACCCCCCCCCCUCUCAUUUUCCCUGUGAAGCGUGCGUCUUUUGUAGUUUGCGGGAGCAAACACUAUAACCACUAGCAGCUGCUAAUUAAAACAUAGCUGUUGUCAUUUAAACAUUUGAUGACUUUGACCCUCAUCUUCUGUUUGAAGUUUUAGAGACCCCAGUGUCAAGAGUGUUAGGCCUUUAUUUAGUUGAAGUAUCUGGUUUACUUUUCCUAAUCUUGUGAGAACCGAUUAAGAAAGCUUUUAAUGAUUGCAUUAUUAAUAUAUAUAUAUAUAUAUAUAUAUAUAUUUUUUUAAGGCAUUUUUUCAUCAUUUAGAUCUUUAGGUCUUUAAGUCUUUUUACUAAACUCAAAUUAUUAUUUUGCAUAACGGGCACGUUUUUGAAAAGUGCAUGGGGUAAAAGAGGUUUUAAGCUUCAAUAAAAUCUGUAAACGGUCGUAAUAAUAGUAAAAAUGGAAUGGAAAUUAAUAGAGUGGUUUUGCAUAUUUUUACAAUUUAUUUUAUUUUAUUGAAUGCAGGUCAUUUAUUUCUUAUUUGAUCAAAAAUAUCAUGCAUCAUUCUGACAGAGAUGGCUUUUUUCCUAAAAAUCUGCACAGCCAGAAAGCCUUUUUGUCUGUCUGUCAUUUGCAUGUUAAUGUUUUCUGGGCUUGCUGACUUUAUAGGAUGAGUUUUUAGAGAUGUGUGGUUACAUUUUUUAAAAUAACUGGGUUUGGCAAAUAUAUUUAGGUCGUUAAUGUGAUUGAGAUUUGUCAGCGUAAAUUCGGCAAUGGUUCUUCAUAAGUAUUAGUGGGUAUAUCGGCUUCAUUCAGUUAGGAUCUCUUUAUGAGGAUCUCUACAGGGGCAACAGGGGAAAAUAAAUCCAACUGUCCAUUAAGGCGUCGCACUAAAUGACAGGCUAUAAUGGGAAAUGAAGUGUUCAGAGAGUGCUUAUGAUACGAGGCCCUACAGGACACCACAGAAACAUCACACUCUGUGCAUUAAUAUUUUAGAGAUCAUGCACAUAGAAACAGACUAUAUUUAAUACACAAUAAAAAAAUAUUUUACUCAUUUUUUUGUGGUUUUUAUCUAAGAUUUUUGCAUCAAAAGAGUAAUAAUUUGUAAACGCCAUUCUACCUUUGUUAAAGUCCAUUAAAGUCCAUACCAA